rnacentral:rRNA from 1 species
UACGUAGGGUGCAAGCGUUGUCCGGAAUUAUUGGGCGUAAAGAGCUCGUAGGCGGUCUGUCGCGUCUGCUGUGAAAACUCGGGGCUUAAUCCCGGGCCUGCAGUGGGUACGGGCAGACUAGAGUGCGGUAGGGGAGACUGGAAUUCCUGGUGUAGCGGUGAAAUGCGCAGAUAUCAGGAGGAACACCGGUGGCGAAGGCGGGUCUCUGGGCCGAUACUGACGCUGAGGAGCGAAAGCGUGGGGAGCGAACAGG